rnacentral:sRNA from 1 species
UGAUAAGACUAUUGAUUAUAAGCUUGA